CUUGAUUUCAGCCUGUGAUGUGGCACAGCUGUGUUUAUGGCACUGGUUAUUUACAGCCAUUUAUACUCACAUACAGAUCUAUAAAUAGUUUACAGAAAUAUCUCUACAUUUGAACAAAGCAAGCUCCAUUGUUCCAGAAGUGAUGGCAUAAGCCACUUAAUGCUGUGGAAAUUGUUGCUAAAGUGUAACAAGUACCAAGUGCUUCUGGGAGUGGGAAGGCAGUGCCUCUGCUAGUGCUGGACUGUGAAAUGACGAGCCCUGGAAACACACUUCUGGCUCAUUUACCUACCUAACCAGGCUCAUACAGCCAUAAUAACAAUUCUGCACUUCUUGGUGUUCUGUCAUGGGAAAUACCACAGAGAGACUGGGAAAAGACAGUGAUGUUUGUGAUGAUGGCAGCCUUCAGAAGUACAGAAAACACCCAAAAUGUUUUCUCAGAUGCACCCAGCCUUAUGCUAUCACGAAGAGGAGGAGGGGAUGACUGCUGCACUCCAGGACUUGCAGGAAGGGAUUUCUGGGCAAUUCAUGCCAUGAAUGAAUAUACCUUUGCUGCAUUGGCUGUAAAGUGGAUUGCAAAACCUGCCUGGAGUCAUGCAAAUGUGAUACAAAGUUAGGGAACUGAACUUGUGUUUUGAUCUCCAUUUGUAAGAAAAAAUCUGAAAUGUGAGAAGAACUUUAAUACGAUAUAAAUGGUUUUAAUUUUUUAGUGAAAGAAGAAAAUUCAUAUGGGAAGACCCAAUUCAAAUUAAUUUCAAUCUGAUCAUAAAAGAGUGAUGGAGGACUUCUAGUCUGAAAGGGAGCUCAUUACCUGCCUAUUAAUAGCGAGCUAUUCGCAGAGAUGGUCCAAGUGAAAUGUGUGGCAAUUUCCACCAUUUUGUUUUCAUGUUCAGUUUGACAGGAGUCGGUGGAAGUUACACUCACAGGUCUGAUAGGAUUUCUGUGGCUAGCAAAAGCAGGAACAAUUCAAUAUUAUGAAGUAUUUAUAAGUCCCUAAGGCACAUUUACAGAUGUCCUUGGCAACAUCAAUUUCUAGCCUGUUAAUAGCUUUAAAAGCUAAAAGCAGAACUGUAGACCUUUUCUAGGCACCAAAAAGCAGCAAAUGCUGACAGACAAGUAGUGAGUAGGCAGGUCCCACUCUACCCACCUCUGAUAACAAUCAAGUCCCUUUAUUGUGCAUUAGCUUCAGGGAAUGGAUUAGUCCUUUUGGCAGCCCACUAUAAAGCACUUUGCAGUAAUCUCAUUUUGAGAUCUGAAAGGCAUGAAUCAUCCAGGUCAAGAUUAAAUUGUACUUUAAGGCCAGAUUCUUAUCUUGUUUGUGCCACAAUGAAUAGAGUACUAUUGCAUAUUAGAGCUCAUGUUGUUAUGCUGCCGUGUAAUGUCAUUGGGCAGGUACACAAAAUUGGGCCCUAAAACUGAAAAACAAAUGGCACACUGGUAAAAAUUAGCUGAGGGAGGAAGUAGGAGUUCCUAUUUAUAACAGAAAAGAAUCAACUACUUCUAACAUUGAAUGAGAAGCUUUCUUACAAUAAAGAAAAGGCAAUGGUCCUACUUCA
ensembl:lncRNA